GUAAAUUAACAGUCCUUCUAAAUUAAUUAAGCACAUUGGAGGAGCAGCUAUUUAGCAUGGCCUGACUCAAUCGAUUUCCUAACACAGCACAAAACACUCUCCCCCCCCCCUGAAGCUUUUUAAGCAUGUUUACAGUAUACAUUUAUCUACCGAAUCCGAUCAGGUUAGGGGGAGGUAAAGAUCCCCCUCCGAUAACCCGGGCAUUGUCCCCCGUGACAUCUGUGCUGCUGGUGGACAGGAUAUCCUGCCAAAUGGGAGAAGACAACUGCGUGACCCACCUUGGGCAAGAGCAGCGCGCACUGAUUCGAGCACAGCGGGAGCGGGCGCUGCCGCCUCUCUCAGCCCCGCGCACAAAGAGCAGCCCCAGCCCUGGAGACGCGUAUGAAUUCAGAAUGUCAAAGCUCAUUUUCUCAUCAGCCUCAGAUGCUGUUAAAGCACUGCAAACUUGACUUCUCUUCUCGGACACGUUGGUUUUACAAUGGCGCAGGGUCAGCGUCCAGCUUACACCAGUGUAAGAAUCUGGAUCCACCCAAUUGAGAUGAUACUUGACCCGGAUGGUUGGAUUUCUGCUGUCAGUACCAAAUCCACAGGUCUGUCGGCCCUGUGUCUGGCAUGUGGCCAGCCUGAAGCCCA
ensembl:lncRNA